GGGAAUUCCUUUCUCCCGCCCUCCCGUGGUCCGGGAGACCGAGGCCACGACCUGAAGCAUCUCUCGGCUUGGGGACAUGAAGGCGCCUCGGCUGCCCGCACUGUAACAGUUUGCACCAUCCGGCGACUCCUCGGCAAGCACUGGGUCCCUGCAUUAUUAAGCUGCCACGCUCGGCUUGCAUUCGUUUUUGAAAGAUUGAGGAACAGGAAUGAAACAAAUACGUGUAUGUAUUGAUGGACGAACAAAGGGAACUCCUUUCAGUGAUAUUCUGAGAGAGACCUUGGGCCCCCCAGGAGGGCGAGAAGCAGCGGAGAACUGCCAAGACUUGCUGCUAGCCGGCCACGCAGACUCACCAGUGCAACCCAUGCCUCUGGUUAGAGCCAAGGAUCCCACAAACUUUGGUCAGGACAGAGCUAAUGGCAGGACCGAAUUAAAUCGGGGCAAGAAUGGGAGGAGAGCCUAGCAAACAUGAGGAUUCAUUUUUUCCUUUCUUUUUUCCAAACCUCCCAGUAGCUUGCCCUGUCCUCACCUCCCACCCUCCAGCAUGAGGAUUUUAAAGGAAAGUAUAAAUCACACAUUUUGAUUUACAAAACCACAAAACUCUGGCAAGGAAAUAAAAUUUACCACCAUCA